GUCCAUGACCAUACCACCCUGAACAUGUCUGAUCUCAUCGGAUCUUAAAAGCUAAUCAGGGCUGGGUCUGGUUAGUACUUGGAUGGGGGAAACUACUACGAACAAUUAUAUUCU
rnacentral:rRNA from 1 species